CAGCUGAAAGCCUACCCAAGUGUCCUGUUUUUAGUCUCGUUACCAAACAGACAAAAGAGAAUGGCUUCGGAAUGAUUUAGUUCGGAAACAUGGAUCAAGGAAGACAGGUUGGUGGGGAAAGAAGAGUGGCAGGGAGAGGGAGAAUGCGUGGAGGACAACGGAGAGGAAGACCAAGAGUGGUGGUCUCUGAUGAGAUAAGGGCCACAAUUAUUGACCAUGUUGUAAACCAUGGUCUCUCUGAGAGAGGCAGGUUUAAGGUGCAACCAAAUCUGCAGCAUUCAACAGUUGCAUCAAUAGUAGGAAUUUUCCGGCAAAACAACAGUAGGAUCCAAGGGUUGCCUCCCACAGGAGGGAGAGGCAGAAUAUUUUCAGAUGCGCAGGAAAUUGCCAUUGUUGACAAUAAAACUGCUAGAAAUUUGGGACAGAGUGCUGGCAGACAAUAUCACUUUUGGGAAUGUGAAUACGGUCAGCACAAUGACAAUUGCCAGAGUCCUAGAGAAACAUAAAAUAAGGAUGAAACAGUGAACGUGUGAAAGAACUCCGGUAUCAAUAUGUCCAGAGAGUAAUGGAGAUGGAAGUCAGGCAAACUGCGCAUACAUUCAUCUUUGUGGAUAAAGCCGGAUUCAAUCUGGCAAAAACACGCCACAAGGGAAGAAAUGUGAUUGGACAGAGAGCAACCGUGGAUGUCCCAGGCCAGAAAGGAGCUAACAUCACAAUGUGUGCAGCACUGUCCAAUGAUGGUUUGCUGUGUCACAUACCACUCGUUGGCCCCUACAAUACAGAGAGGCUAAUUUAUUUUCUGGAUGACCUGCAUAAUCGACUUGUGCCAGCGGAGGAGAGAGGGGCAAGAAACUCCCCUACCUUCAUUGUUGUGUGGGAUAAUGUGGCAUUCCACCGCUCUGCUGCAGUCAGACUGGUUUGCUGCACAUCCCAGGAUGUGUACUAUUCCAGUACUAUUCCUGCCUCCAUACUCCCCCUUCCUAAACCCCAUAGGAGUUUUUCUCUGCGUGGAGGUGGAAGGUUUAUGACCACCAUCCACAUGACCAGAUGUCCUUACUGGAUGCCAUGAAUGAGGGGUGUGGAGACACUUCUCCUGAAGACUACCAGGGUUGGAUUAGACAUUCCAGAAGAUAAUUUCCAAGCUGCAUCGCCAGAAAAGACAUAAGAUGUGAUGUUGAUGAGAACUUGUGCCCAAAUGCAGGAGAGAGGGAGAACUAGAACCUUCACAGUACUGUACAGUAAUGGUGAUUAUACUAUACAUGUUGUUGUUUUUUGUCAUUAUUAUUGCAGCCCUGUAAUUUCAGGAAUUUGUUUUUUGUUUGAACUUUUUAUUUUUCACAAGUAAAUUACUAUAU